rnacentral:rRNA from 1 species
AGUGAACGCUGGCGGUAGGCCUAACACAUGCAAGUCGAACGGCAGCACAGUAAGAGCUUGCUCUUACGGGUGGCGAGUGGCGGACGGGUGAGGAAUACAUCGGAAUCUACUUUUUCGUGGGGGAUAACGUAGGGAAACUUACGCUAAUACCGCAUACGACCUACGGGUGAAAGCAGGGGAUCUUCUGACCUUGCGCGAUUGAAUGAGCCGAUGUCGGAUUAGCUAGUUGGCGGGGUAAAGGCCCACCAAGGCGACGAUCCGUAGCUGGUCUGAGAGGAUGAUCAGCCACACUGGAACUGAGACACGGUCCAGACUCCUACGGGAGGAAGCAGUGGGGAAUAUUGGACAAUGGGCGCAAGCCUGAUCCAGCAAUACCGCGUGGGUGAAGAAGGCCUUCGGGUUGUAAAGCCCUUUUGUUGGGAAAGAAAAGCAGCAGGUUAAUACCCCGCUGUUAUGACGGUACCCAAAGAAUAAGCACCGGCUAACUUCGUG